GAAUCAAAAUAGUGCUCGUACUAAAAUUGGAACGAUACAGAGAAGAUUAGCAUGGCCCCUCCACAAGGAUGACACGCAAAUACGUGAAGCUUUCCAUGUUAAA
ensembl:snRNA LOC120095355 U6 spliceosomal RNA